UGUUCAGUGUUCGCUGGUGUGAGGCAGGCGAGGGGUUGUGGGAUCUUUGGGUUUUCUGUGUGGAAGGAAUGAGUGGGCUGGUGUCCGGGAGCUUCCAGUCCCAAACUUGAGGUGGCUUGGGGUCCGUGUGGGCGCUGGCUGUAGGACCCCAGUGUAAGUGGUGACUGUGGGGCCUGUGAGCUUCCUGAAGAAGCUAGCAGGUGGCAGAGAUCCAGGCAAACAUGGGAAUGCUUUCUUAAGUUUGGCCGUAGAAACAGAGGAGUCAACGAUGUUAUGGAUACAUCACAGCGUGGAUACAGCAUGUAGCCUGAGUCAGGAGAGCAGCAUGUUUUCUAAGAUGUGAAGUCACUCACUCUAAAUGGUGUAGAAAGUGCACUGUGCUUGUAAUGUUUUCAGGCUUAAAUUGUCUAGAAAUGAGUAUUUUCCAACAAUCAGAAAUUAAACUCAGUAUACCUGCUGGCUUUGUAACUUAUCUGCUUGUUCUUUGAUUGGCUUGUGACUCCCUUCUUCAUAUUUUCUGCUAAUCUUUUAUUACUACGUUAAUAUGCAUUAUAUCCAAGCAUUGAACAAGCUUGCCAGAAAUACUUUAGUGUUCAUUUGUUUUGUUUACCUGAUUGUGGGCUUUUUAGAUUCAUUCAUUAUAACUUUGACGUGGAGACAGAAAGGACUUGUGGUGGUGGUGGAGAUGAUGUUGUACAGUUAGUUGCUAUGACAAAUGUAGUUUUUCUUUACUAAGACUUUGGUCCUGAAUAUGUUUCUGAUGCGUGUGGCCUACGCUGCUGUCAGAUACUUGGGGUAUGUAAAGACAUCUACCACAGCUGUACUGUACACUGAAGUGUGAAGCUGGUAUCUUUUAUCAGGUCAUGCUGAAUCUGUAGUAAACGGCUAAAGCAGGUCUUGGAGAACAGGAGAGGUGCCUGAAGACUGGAAGAUAGCCAGUGUCAGUCCAGUGUUCAAAAAGGGCAAGAAGCAGGAUCUGGGAAACUACCAGGCCAGUCAGCCUCACUUCUGACUCUGAAAAGGUGAUGGAAAAGCUUUUUCUGGAUGCCCUCUCCAAACAAUUGGUAGAAAAGAAGGCUAUCAGGAGUAGUCAGCAUGGAUUCACCGAGGGAAACUCAUGCUUGACAAGAGUCAUAGCCUUCUGUGAUGGCAUUACCGGCUGGGUAGGUGGGCAGUGGAUGUUUUCUACCUUGACUUCAGCAAAGCUUUUAACACUGUCUCCCAUGACAUCCUGAGAACGAAGCUGAGAAAGUGUGGGAUAGAUGAGUGGACAGUGAGGUGGGUUGAGAACUGGCUGACUGGCUGAGCUCAGAGGGAGGUGAUUGGUGGUGCGGAGUCUGAUUGGAGACCUGUGACUAGCAGUGCUCCCAAGGAGUCAGUACUGGGUCUGGUCUUGUUCAAUAUCUUCAUCAACAACCUUGAUGAGGGGAUAGCGUCCACCCUCAGCAAGUGUGCCGACAACAAAAAGCUGAGAGGAGUGGCUGAAAGACCUGAAAGCUGUGCUGCCAUUCAGCAAGACCUGGACAGGCAGGAGAGCUGGGCAGUAAGAAACCAAAUGGGGGUUAAUAAAAGCAAGUGUAGAGUCUUGCACCUGGGAAGGAAAAACCACAAGUAUGAGUACAGAUUGGGAUGUGACCUGCUGGAGAGGAGCUCUGUGAAGCACCUGGGAGUCCUGGUGGAUGACAGGUUGGCCAUGAGCCAGCAGUGUGCCCUGGUGGCCAAGAAGGCCAAGGGGAUCCUGGGGUGCAUUCAAAGGAGUGUGGCCAGCAAGUCGAGGGCGAUGAUCUUUCCCCCUCUACUCUGAGCUGGUCAGGCCUCACCUGGAGUACUGUACCCAGUUCUGGGCUCCCUGGUACAAAAAAGACAGGGAUCUCAUGGAGAGAGUCCAGUGGUGGGCCACAAAGAUGAUAAAGAGCCUGGAGCAUCUCCCUUAUGAGGAAAGGCUGAGCAAACUGAGUCUGUUCAGCUUUGAGAAAAGAAGACUCAGAGGUGAUCUUAUUAAUGUUUAUAAAUACCUUAAGUGUGAGAGUGAAAGGGACACGGCCAACUUCUUUUCAGCUAGCUGUGAUGACAGGACACGGGGAAAUGGCUAUAAACAUGAGCAUAGGAAGUUCUGCACCAAUAUACAAAGGAACUUCUUCACAGUGAGGGUGACAGAGCACUGGAACAGGCUACCCAGGGAGGCUGUGGAUUCUCCUCUGGAGAUGUUCAAGACCCACCUGGAUGCCUACCUGUGCAGCCUGUUGUAGGGAGCCUGCUUUGCAGGGGGUUGGACUCGGUGAUCUCUGGAGGUGCCUUCUAACCCCUACUGUUCUCAAGGUAAGCACAUCAAAAUUCAAAAGCAUUGUAGAGUCAUCUAAAAAUGUCCUGAAAGGGCAUGUUUUCUGUUGCUUACCAGAACCAGCUGGGAUUUUCUUUUGUGUGCUGUAUUAUUGCCUGCUUUCUCUCUUUGCCAUUGAUGAUAAGCAAAAGAUUAAUACAAAAAUAGAACUUAGCGAAAAAUCAGAAUCAAUGUACAAAUGUGACAUCGGAAAGUUUUGUUUUUAAAGGGAGACAGUACUUGUUUGAUGCAACCUGUAUUAUUAUGACUUCCAACCCAAGCCAUUCUAUGAUGUUACAACUGCCAGGCUGCAUGUGCCAAUGAAUGUUUUUGGGGCUUUUUGUAACAUACUACAUGACCAUGCAUUUAGGUUCUGUGAUUUCAGAAGCUUCACACCACCUGCUAGGUGAUGACCUGCAAUGCAUGUUGCAUUUACAGGACCAAAUGUUAUUGCCAUUGUGUACACUGAAGGAUUCAGAGCAAUUGCAGACUGCUGUAGUUGGGUCUGCAAAAGAAAAUGAAACACAGUUCCAAGUGUUAAGGAAUUUCCGCAAAGGUGAUAUUUAAGGAUAAAGUUCCUAAGAAGAAUAUGAUUUGAAAUAAAAAAUUAGUUUGUUUUACAGUAACAGACUAAGCAAAGAAAAUUUCCCUUUUUUUUUUGAGGAACACAACGUUAGCAGGUAGCAGCCGUACAAACCAAGAGGUUUCUAUUAACUGACAUGGUGCAUUCUUGUCAAUAAAGAUGUAUGUAUACGUACCUUUUGGAGAUGAUUAAGAUUGUUUUGAGCAUGGUUAAUGACAAAGGACAUAUAAACAGGAUGACUCAUUUGGUUAUAAAUGUUAAGUAAAACCAAUUAUUUGCAUUGGUGAUAGAGUAUGGCAUCCAACAUGGACAAAUUUUUGUUUAACAUAGAAAUUUUCUUUUUAAGCCUUAUAUAUUACCAUUCUGAUAUAGUGAUGUAUUUUUUCAUCUCCUAAAAAAAUUACUGAAGGAGAUUUUCAUUUAGGAAUUGUUUCAUAUCUCAAUAAAAUUUUAUAUGUAUGCAUAUACAUUUGCUCUCCUGAGAGAAAUGGCAAGGAAUCAUCUCUGUUUAAAGCUGACCAAUUCUACUGAAAGUGCUUUAUUAUUCACUAUAAGAAUACGUUGACUGAAGGGUUAUUUAUUAUAAUAUAUUCACAGAUGCUUUGUUAAGUAAAGUCUGAAAUGUUUCAAGGGAUGCCAUUUCCAGCACCUUCUUCUGAAGACUCCUGAUAAUCAAAUAGGAACAUCAGAUAUAUGUGGGUUUGAACUCAAAGCAAAGAUAGAGUCCAAACCUUAGCAUGACAGAAAGAGGGCUUUGUAUCAUAUUUGAAAACUCUUCACCAGUCUUCGUACUCUCUUGGACUGUAAAUUAGAUGCGAACUUACCUGGUGAAAAUGUCAUGGAGAUGAGAGAGAAGAGAUGCAGAAAAGCAGAGAGUUUCCAUCCUCCUGCCGACCCAGUGGAACACAAUGCUGUAACAGCAGGCGUCUGAUAAAACAGUGAAGUUGUGACUAGAGUCUGCCUUGGACUGGUGCUUCAGUUCAGAAUGCCAGCACAUGUGAAGAAUGCUCUCAUUCUGACCAUCUGUUGUCACAGGUAAAUUGAGAGAUGGUAGCACACAACAGUGUAUUGUUAUAAAGAAAGUUUGUACUGCCUUAGUAUUAGAAGUUGAAGGGCUUAUAGAAUAUUUUCUGACCCUGAAAAUGUUAACUUUUCCUUUCUUUCUUUGGGGGAUGUUUUUUUUCCCCAGGUAUCUGAAGAAAAAGCGAUGAUUACAAUAAGAGAAAUUGCAAGAGAUUUUCCAGAUCUAGGGUCAGUGGUGACAUCCCCAUAAAUCAUGAGUAACCCUAACACAGACAGUCUUAAAGAGGCUUAGUUGUCAUAAACAUAUAUACUUAGGUAGAACUGUUCCCAUCAUAUUUAUCUUUCAUUCCAUAGCUUAUAGAAACCAAAUUUCUGUCAUCGACAAUUAUUAAUCAUGCAUUUACCCUGCUGAGACAUCUAAUAAAGCAUCAAGUACAGAGUCUGAACAUGAGUGAGAGAAAAGGAGAGAAAACAGAGAAAACAUAAUCCAAAUUUUUUAAAGUGAGGGGAAGAAAAAUCUCACAGAACAUCUGUUCACCACAUGUUCAUAAAUUACAGUGGGAUUUUGAACUUUUCUUCUCUCAUCUACAUGUCACGCAGAUUUAAUAGUUCAUAAUUUUACAAAAAACAACAUAAUUAUGCACCAUGCUCAAAAGAACAUGUGAUCAGCUCUCCAGAAGCACUGCUGCAAGCUGCUCUCUGUUGAUGCCAAGCUUGCAGCAGUUCAGCAUGUUGUGCCUUCUCAGCCCUUGCAUGGGAGGCUCAUUAUUCAUGGCAAGACUGAAGAAAACACCACUGAAAUUCAACUCAUGAGCCUGGGCCUGAAUAUGAUAACCUUUGACUCUCCAGGGAAAUUAACAUUUUGUGCUUAGACCACAAAAAAUAUUGGAAUGUAAGGUCUUACUGAGAAAUACUAUUUCUCAUUGAGAAUGCACCUUUCCCCCAUCAGUGCGUUGUAGAACAGGUUUUUAUUUAGCUUAAAUGGAAAAGAAUGAACAGAGCAAGUAUUACAUAGAAGACGUAUUUUGCAAAUUUUUUAUUUAUGGCUGAACUACAGAUCAGAAUCUAAAAAUAUGUGCUUCCAUCUACUUGACUGAGACAAGUCACUGGUGUACAUAUGAGUACACGCAGUCAAGUUUCCUCUUGCCAUUUACUUCCCAUGAAACUGAUCCAUCUGUGCAUAAAAUCUAUGUACAGAUUCCAGGUCUUGGGCUGACUCUGCAUCCAAGGGAAACCCUUGCAAAUAUUUGUUCUGAGAUGUGAAAGAGAAGAGGGAAUUUAGAUGCAGAAUUAGGAAUAGAAGGAGAAAGACAAGUAUCAUGAAAGGAAAUUGUGCUUUUGUAUUGCCUUCAUUGCCUCAUUUUUAAAAUUAUCCUCUUCCCUACCAAAUAACAACAUCUUCAAGAAAGAGAACUUAUAAACGUACAAGCAUUUUUCCUUUAUAACAUACACACAAACAAAAAACAUGGAUUCCAGCAUGCAAGAAGCAAAAGCAAAAUAUUCAGGAAGCACACUUGCAAUAAACAAAUUGGAGAUUAAAACCGUCCCAUGUCAACAUUCAGAUUCGUUAAGACCUCAAACAUAUAAGCUUUAAUGUAGUUGUAAUAUACAGAUUUAGAGUACUCUUCAAGAAAAAUAUGACUCAGGAGCAGUUGCCAGCAUGAGAAGUUUCUGCUUUUUCUUUUCCUGCUGAUGAUAAUUAUGAUUUAGGGCUCCAUAUUAAACAAGGAAGGGGCUGCAAACACAGUUUGAAAUGUUUCAUAUUGGUGUUUUAAUGAAGAUCCCAUAGAUGCCGUCUUCUUCUACCUAAGUUAAUGGAUUGAUUUAGGUAGAGGUUCUGUAAAAUGUAGUAGAAAAUCUUGUUGCAGUUAGAAAAUCCUAGCAAGAGAUUGAUUUCUAUGUAAUAAAAUUACUUCAUUAAAUGAAAUCCUCAUAUUUCUUCUCAACUCUUGAGACAGCUACCAAAUUUUAUAAAAGGCCAUUAAAUGUAGUGCACAGCUGGCAUUGGCCUGCUGGCAGGAAAAAUGACUUUCCCCAGCUGAGUUCUCUGAGAGGUCCAAAGCUGCCACAGAACUGAACAAAGCUCUCUGCACCACAAACUGCUAAGGGAAACAAAACACUGCACAGGAGCAGGGGCCACUGACCAAUAGACUGAGUCCCCCAAAGCAGGUAAAAAUGAGUAUAAAACGUUUGAACAAACUUGUUCAGAAUUGCCUUUGUCUGCAGCUUCACAGUUAUUUCAAGCACACGUGCUUUAUUUUUGCACAGGAAUUGAGAAAAAUUAUGAAGUUGGUAUGCCUAACCAGCCCAAAUUCCAAGUUUACAGAUCACUAUAGCUGCGGAAACUGCUGGUCCAUCCUUUUAUUUUUCAGAGGUAGAGAAGGUGGAGUUUUUUGAGUAUCAAUGAGGUGAGAUUGUGGCAAGUCUUUCUGCUUCCAUCAUCAUGAUUUUUUUUCACCAUUCCCUUUGCCUCUGCUGUUGUCAGGUGCGCUGCAGUCCUCUUGUCUUGCAGACUGACUGUCUCCUUGCACUCAGAAAACUCAAUUCAAGUAGAUAUCUUGUGAGUCUGCAAAGAUAAAUCAAUUCCAAUGUUUUUCAUCCUGGGAAAAAGGAAAGUAGAAAUCAGUUACACAGUAAGCAUGGAGAAGUUCUGACUCAUACCUAAUUUGAUCUAAUCUAAAGUUUAUUAAGCUCAGAAGAAUUUGACUGGUUUCCUUUUAGCUUUAUUUCAGAACAAUUGUUUGUGGUGCAUGCUGCAUCCCUGGGCACUUCAUCUCUUUUCAUCUUUCAUCCACUUUUAUUUAAGCCUUUGUUUCUCAGUAUGGGGUGAUGUGUUGAUAAAAUAAACUACUUAUCUUUGUUGAAAUUACUCUUUUUGGUAUGAAAUGUUGGGUAUGGUAUGGUAUGAAAUUGCGCAUUACCCAGGGGGAAAAAGAAAGAGUCCAAGAACUUUGCAAGAUUUUAAUUAAAACUGAAUCAUGGCAUAAAUGAACAGCUAGAAAACAGUCUGAGAAAUUCAGUACUAUCCAGUUUUCAUGUUAGUUCCUUCAGUUAUUUAAUUCCAGAGAAUGCCUGGAGUAGUCAAACAGGAGAUUGAUAGCAAACUUCUUGUGAAGAAACUGUUUGCUAGGUAAUGUCCAUGCCCCCAUGAGUGCAGUUGCAAAGGAAGCUCAGAGAAUAUGCAAGCUCCUGGUACAAAUACAUUCUUUUCUCAGGGAGGAAAAAUACAGAAGAUCUAUGGGACAGGAGCCAUUUGUUCAGGGAAUUGGUUUCGAAGAAGAGUACCAAAGCUCAACGAUGCUCAUUGGAGACAGAACAGGGUAGAGAGAUAUUUGCCUUCCUGGAUUUAGCUUUGCCUCAGCUUUACCUACAUAUAUGAGAAGUUGUUCAUUGUUUGCUUGAUUUUUGCAAUCAGAGGCUGACCAUACACCAGAUGAUUCCUGUGGCUGCAGGACAACGUAGCCCUCCUGACAGUGGACAGAAGUAUAUGACCAGAGGAGAUUAUAUGCACUGGAAAAACCACUGAACUGAAGUUUACAAGUUGUUGGUUGUGAGCUGUGACAAUGCAUCGUGCAUUAGUAAUGCAUCUUAAUGUACAUAUGAGGGGAAAUCUUGAAGAAAACCUGCACGAAGCGUGUAUUCACUACAGUGCUGUGAGUAGCUGGUAGAACAGAGUUGAGAAUGUAAUUUAGCUAGUGAACAGAAAACAGAAGAAAAAGCAAGAAAAGGUCGCACCUAAUGUUCAGAGUAAGACUUCUUUUCUCAUUGAAAUGUGAAGGUGGAUUCCCAAAUCUUUGUUCCAGAUUUUGGCUCUAUGACAAAUAAGUGUAAAGAGAAGAAAGAUGAAUGUGACUAUAAUACACAGGCAAAGCUGUGCAUAUCUGAUGCGUAAAAAGAAUUUGGAAUUUUGAGGUCUGCUAAAUCAGUUGAGUCUUAUUGCAAUGUUUUUCUGGUUCAUUUGGCCAGAGAGCAUGUAUUAAAUCUAUAUGACCGUGCACAUAGGCAAAUAUUGAUUUUAUUAGUAAAGAAAUUGAGAAAAAUAUGUGAUGUCCUAGUAUCUGGUUAUCCAGUUCUAAUACACGUUCCUUCUUUACUCACAAUUCUACAUGAAUGAAGGUCCCAGUUCAUUCAUGAAGCCCUUCUGCCCACUCUAUAAAGGUUAAGUCCAUUCAGCAAAAAUUGAAAAUGAGAGUUGAAUCCUGUGAACAAUUAAAUUCUGCAUUUGAAAUAAUAAAUGCAUAGUCUCAUGCAUGUAAAUUGUACUGAAAUAUUAACUUUUUUUAGACAAAAAUGAAUUUGAAACAAACUUAUGGCACUUAUUCUGUAGAAAACUUGCAAUCAGUGAGAAGUCUGAGUUUAUUGAAUAAAUAAUAUAACCUUAUACCUUAAUAUUCAAUAAAUUAAUAUAGACUUACUUUUGAGUAAACAGUAGGAUUUUAAAAUUUCAACAAAAAUUAAUUUUAUUUAUUGCAGACUUGGGUGGGACUGUGCUUAUUUACUAUAUAGGGUCAUGAAAUAUUCAGUUUGAAUGCACUAAAGAGAUCUGUAAGUGCUUCCCGGAUUUCCCAACCUUCCAAAAUUCCCAUGGAAACAUUGAAUCACCAAGGUUGGAAAACACCUCCAAGAUCCAACCAUCCACCAAUCCCAUACCACCAAUAUUUCCCCACUAAAUUGUGUCCCUCGGUACCACAUCUAAACGUUUCUUGAACACCUCCAGGGAUGGUGAUUCCACCACCUUCCUGGGCAGCCUGUUGCAGAGCCUGACCACUCUUUUGGAGAAUAAAUUUUACUCAAUAUCCAACCUGAAUCGAUCUUUCAUGAUGGAUAAGCAAAGGCACAUCUUUAAUGAAUGGCUCCAAGUGAUUUUUCUGUCACAUCAAGAUUUAUACAGAAAAAUGGAUUAAUAGGAACCUUCUGACAAACUUUUCAGUAAUUUAUGCUUUUUAUAUUUAACAUUUAAUGUAAAUUUGAUGUUGAACAGCAGUUCUGUAGCAGUAGUUUAGCUACUGGACACCAAACAGUGGAGAUGUCUGAUGCUGAGGGAUCUGUUCAGGAGAGCUGUGCUGGAUCACAUCACUUCAUGAUUUCCUUAGAAGGAAGUAUGAAAAAGCCUUCAGGAACUGCCACCAAUGGAGGCAGGCUUCCUUAGCUCCUUCUCACAGCUAGGGAGAAUGGUAAGAUUUUCCCAUGCAGGAAUUCAUAGGCUUGGGGAUAGAUCUGACAGUUGUGUAGGAGGGGGUUGCCAGCCUGGAUCCUGAGCAACUACUUGCUACAGGUGGCAGGUGAGGGAAGUAUGCACGUUUGUUCUUCCUAGCCCUGCCAAGUGUGCUGCUGCUCAGGGCAGGCCCUGGGGGAAGGCCUGGAAGGAAACAUCUGCUCACCGGUCAGUGCCAAGCCACGCGGAGCUGAUGGUGGCUUUGUGAGGCAUUUGGUGAUGCCGUGUGUUCAUGCUCAUUUCACAGAUACUGCUGCUGUCUGUGCUGGGUUUAAUAUUGGGAGGGAUUGAAGGAAAGUACCUUGGGAAGGAUUAUAUGAGGAGAAGACACAUAAACCUUUCUUCCUGACUGAACUUUGUUAUUUUCACAAAUGUGGAACACAUUUGGUCUGGCAUC